rnacentral:rRNA from 1 species
AGUGAACGCUGGCGGUAGGCCUAACACAUGCAAGUCGAACGGCAGCACAGUAAGAGCUUGCUCUUACGGGUGGCGAGUGGCGGACGGGUGAGGAAUACAUCGGAAUCUACUUUUUCGUGGGGGAUAACGUAGGGAAACUUACGCUAAUACCUCAUACGACCUACGGGUGAAAGCAGGGGAUCUUCGGACCUUGCGCGAUUGAAUGAGCCGAUGUCGGAUUAGCUAGUUGGCGGGGUAAAGGCCCACCAAGGCGACGAUCCGUAGCUGGUCUGAGAGGAUGAUCGGCCACACUGGAACUGAGACACGGUCCAGACUCCUACGGGAGGCAGCAGUGGGGAAUAUUGGACAAUGGGCGAAAGCCUGAUCCAGCAAUACCGCGUGGGUGAAGAAGGCCUUCGGGUUGUAAAGCCCUUUUGUUGGGAAAGAAAAGCAGCAGGUUAAUACCCCGCUGUUCUGACGGUACCCAAAGAAUAAGCACCGGCUAACUUCGUG